GUGUAGCUCAGUGGUAGAGCAUAUGCUUAUCAUACAAGGCUCUGGGUUCAAUCCCCAGCAC
rnacentral:tRNA from 1 species